rnacentral:rRNA from 1 species
AGUGAACGCUGGCGGUAGGCCUAACACAUGCAAGUCGAACGGCAGCACAGUAAGAGCUUGCUCUUACGGGUGGCGAGUGGCGGACGGGUGAGGAAUACAUCGGAAUCUACUUUUUCGUGGGGGAUAACGUAGGGAAACUUACGCUAAUACCGCAUACGACCUACGGGUGAAAGCAGGGGAUCUUCGGACCUUGCGCGAUUGAAUGAGCCGAUGUCGGAUUAGCUAGUUGGCGGGGUAAAGGCCCACCAAGGCGACGAUCCGUAGCUGGUCUGAGAGGAUGAUCAGCCACACUGGAACUGAGACACGGUCCAGACUCCUACGGGAGGCAGCAGUGGGGAAUAUUGGACAAUGGGCGCAAGCCUGAUCCAGCCAUACCGCGUGGGUGAAGAAGGCCUUCGGGUUGUAAAGCCCUUCUGUUGGGAAAGAAAAGCAGCAGGUUAAUACCCCGCUGUUCUGACGGUACCCAAAGAAUAAGCACCGGCCAACUUCGUG